rnacentral:rRNA from 1 species
UGGGGAAUAUUGCACAAUGGGCGAAAGCCUGAUGCAGCAACGCCGCGUGAGGGAAGACGGUUUUCGGAUUGUAAACCUCUGUUUUCGGUGACGAACAAAUGACGGUAACCGAGUAGGAAGCCACGGCUAACUACGUGCCAGCAGCCGCGGUAAUACGUAGGGGGCAAGCGUUAUCCGGAUUUACUGGGUGUAAAGGGAGCGCAGACGGAAGAGCAAGUCUGAUGUGAAAACCCGGGGCUCAACCCCGGGCCUGCAUUGGAAACUGUUUUCUGGAGUACUGGAAGGGCAGGCGGAAUUCCUGGUGUAGCGGUGAAAUGCUUAGAUAUCAGGAGGAACACCGGUGGCGAAGGCGGCCUGCUGGACAGUAACUGACGUUGAGGCUCGAAAGCGUGGGGAGCAAACAGGAUUAGAUACCCUGGUAGU